AGGUUGUCCAUGUGAAUAUUGAAAUCUCCCAGCCAAAUUAAAUUUGGCGGGAGAGUGGAUAAAUGUGUGAUUAGGCUGGAAUAUUCAUUGAUAAAAUCACGAUGUGGCUUCGGGGGGCAAUAAACUGUCGCGAUGAUGGUUGGCGAGGGUCCAGGGAGCUUAAAAACCAGGCAUUCAAAAGAGCUUGAUGCAGGAACGGAGACAGGCAGGACUUUCCACUUCUCGCGGUGGAUUACAGCGAGGCCUCCUCCACGGGAACGGCAGAUGUAAACAAAGCCGGGAGGAGUUGAGUCAUUCAGUGCAGCGAAGUCGUUCGUCUGUUGCCAGGUUUCUGUUAAAACGAGGAAGUCGAGUUUGCGGUCGGCGAGGACAUCUUGGAUGAGGUGUCCUUUGCUCGUGAGUGAGCGGAUGUUCAGCAGACCAAAGUUGACGGCGGAGGUGUCGUGUUUGACGGCGGCAGUGCUGUUAGCCGACCUAGCCAGGCGGGCUAAUGCAUGAUGGUUGAUGUUGGGCCGGAGUUUCUGGGAGGGCGUCGAGAAGUGGACCGGGUCGAGUUGAUUGAGCCGGGAUUUUUGUACUCGACAUGUCUGCGCGACCCGCGGUGAAUGUAGCGACAUCGAGGCAGCCGAGCGGUGUCCGGAUGAUGGUGCGGCUCCGGUGGCGGAGGCCCCGGUGCAAUCCACCGGAUCCGGAGAAGAUCCGCGACAGAAUAGUGGAGCAGUGCUGCCACUGGAUGAUGGCGGAACGUCAGGAGUAUCCAAAGUAAACCAAAGGCGGCAAGGAGGUUUUCGCGCCCCAUGUCGAGGGAGGAAAGCCGGUGUGGUGACAGCUGGUUAGCAUAAGCUGCUUACGAUGGGGUUUGAUUGAUCGGAUGAAGUGAUGAUUCAAAUUGCAUCAAUCACAGUACCCACAGUCCAAAACAGAAGGGCAAAAGAAAAAUCAGAGGGAAGAUCAGAGUUUUAGUAGAGCUCGGAGUGAGAAGCGGCGACAUACACGCCCGCGUCCUCUCAACCCGGAAUGGUGUAAAUAGCAGUGUGCGAGCAUGUAUGCGUGUGUGAGAGAUGGGGAAAUGUAAGUGUAUGGCAACAAUAAAAAAAAAAAAAAAAAAGAAAGAAAAGUGUGGUAAUUGUACGUACUUUUAUAAAUUACAGCUUGUCCAACCAGAAGCCAAAAGACGACGACUCCUUGCUUUGGUGGUGGAAAGAAAGGUCGUGCAUCUGGACGUGGUGGGGAUGAAUCGAUGUGGCGACAAACUGGACGGAAGCCAAAAACCAUCCCCUUCACAGCGACCCCUGGGCCUUUGGAUGCUGCUGCACAACUGGAGUCCGGGGAGCCAGCUGACUUCCUCCAGCUGUUCAUAACAGACGAGCUCCUCCAGUUCAUAGUUCAAUAGUUUUGUUAUGUGCAAAUAAAUUAUUUUGCUAUAAAAACGUGUUUUGUAAUGUUGUUUUUUUUUGUAGGAGGAACACAUUAUUGAGGUAUUUGAGCUGUCAGAAAAGCAAAAAGUAGUGUCAAACUUGAAACGCAUGCUUU